CAAGCGGUGGAGCAUGUGGUUUAAUUCGACGCAACGCGAAGAACCUUACCUGGGCUCGAACGGCUUCUGACCGGUUCUGGAAACAGGACCUUUCCCGCAAGGGACAGGAGUCGGGGUGCUGCAUGGCUGUCGUCAGCUCGUGUCGUGAGAUGUUGGGUUAAGUCCCGCAACGAGCGCAACCCUUGUCCUGUGUUGCAACCCGAAAGGGGCACUCUCAGGAGACCGCCAGCGAUAAGCUGGAGGAAGGUGGGGAUGACGUCAAGUCAGCAUGGCCUUUAUGUCUGGGGCUACACACGUGCUACAAUGGCCGGUACAAACCGUCGCGAUACCGCAAGGUGGAGCUAAUCGGAGAAAGCCGGCCUCAGUUCGGAUUGUAGGCUGCAACUCGCCUGCAUGAAGUUGGAAUCGCUAGUAAUCGCGGAUCAGCACGCCGCGGUGAAUACGUUCCCGGGCCUUGUACACA
rnacentral:rRNA from 1 species